rnacentral:rRNA from 1 species
GACGAACGCUGGCGGCGUGCUUAACACAUGCAAGUCGAACGGUGACCUCGAGAGCUUGCUCUUGGGUGAUCAGUGGCGAACGGGUGAGUAACACGUGAGUAACCUGCCCCAGACUCUGGAAUAACCCCGGGAAACCGGAGCUAAUACCGGAUACGAGACGGAGUCGCAUGGCUACCGUCUGGAGAGUUUUUCGGUCUGGGAUGGACUCGCGGCCUAUCAGCUUGUUGGUGAGGUAACGGCUCACCAAGGCGACGACGGGUAGCCGGCCUGAGAGGGCGACCGGCCACACUGGGACUGAGACACGGCCCAGACUCCUACGGGAGGCAGCAGUGGGGAAUAUUGCACAAUGGGCGAAAGCCUGAUGCAGCGACGCCGCGUGAGGGAUGACGGCCUUCGGGUUGUAAACCUCUUUCAGCAGGGAAGAAGCGAAAGUGACGGUACCUGCAGAAGAAGCACCGGCUAACUACGUGCCAGCCGCCGCGGUAAGAC